rnacentral:rRNA from 1 species
GACGAACGCUGGCGGCGUGCUUAACACAUGCAAGUCGAACGAAGUGGCGAACGGGUGAGUAACGCGUAAUCAACCUGCCCUUCAGAGGGGGACAACAGUUGGAAACGACUGAUAAUACCGCAUACUGAAGGUGGGGAUUGCGUCCGUUUCGCUAGUUGGAGGGGUCACGGCCCCCCAAGGCGAUGAUCAGUAGCCGGGCUGAGAGGAUGAACGGCCACAUGGGGACGGUGAAACGGCCCAGACUCCUACGGGAGGCAGCAGUGGGGAAACUUCCGCAAUGGACGAAAGUCUGACGGAGCAACGCCGCGUGAGUGAGGACGGCCUUCGGGUUGUAAAGCUCUGUUAAUCGGGACGCGGUACCGGAAUAGAAAGCCACGGCUAACUCCGUGCCAGCCGCCGCGGUAAUAC